AUCAGAUUUACAGUACGCACAUAGAUUGCUGACUAACCCUUUCAGGCCCAGCAUACUUUAACAAUGCUAGGUGCACUGACUGUGAAAAGGAUAAUAAUUCAGAAUAAAGUGACGCAAAUCCUAGCACAAAAAUAGUAUACAUCGCUACACGUCAAAUAUUAUCUGACAGGAUUAUUUGCAUAACUAUCAAUUGUCCAGAUUUCACAGGAAUUUCAAAUUUGGAUGACAAUAGCUGAUCUGAAAAAAAAACCUCUAAGUCAGCAGUAUUUCC